rnacentral:rRNA from 1 species
CGGCCCGGUGUGUCCCUCGUCAAAUCCACGGGCUUAACCCGUGGGCUGCGGGGGAUACUACCGGGCGUUGGGGUGGGAGAGGCGCCCGGUACUUCCCGGGGUAGGGGUAAAUCCUCUGAUCCCGGGAGGACCAUCAGUGGCGAAGGCGGGGCGCCAGAACACGCCCGACGGUGAGGGGCGAAAGCUGGGGGAGCAAACGGGAUUAGAUACCCCGGUAGUCCCAGCUGUAAACGAUGCGGGCUAGCUGUCGGGGCGGCUACGGGCCGCCCCGGUGGCGAAGGGAAGCCAUUAAGCCCGCCGCCUGGGGA